rnacentral:rRNA from 1 species
AGAGUUUGAUCCGGCUCAGGAUGAACGCUGGCGGCGUGCCUAACACAUGCAAGUCGAGCGAAGUGAUUUCGAAUGAAAUUUUCGGAUGGAUUUUGGAAUUAUCUUAGCGGCGGACGGGUGAGUAACGCGUGAGAAACCUGCCUUUCACAAAGGGAUAGCCUCGGGAAACUGGGAUUAAUACCUUAUGACACUUUAACCUCGCAUGGGGAAUAAGUUAAAGCGUAAAGCGGUGGAAGAUGGUCUCGCGUCCUAUUAGCUAGUUGGUGAGGUAACGGCUCACCAAGGCGACGAUAGGUAGCCGGCCUGAGAGGGUGAACGGCCACACUGGAACUGAGACACGGUCCAGACUCCUACGGGAGGCAGCAGUGGGGAAUAUUGCACAAUGGAGGAAACUCUGAUGCAGCGACGCCGCGUGAAUGAUGAAGGCCUUCGGGUCGUAAAAUUCUGUCCUUGGGGAAGAUAAUGACGGUACCCAAGGAGGAAGCCCCGGCUAACUACGUGCCAGCAGCCGCGGUAAUACGUAGGGGGCGAGCGUUGUCCGGAAUUAUUGGGCGUAAAGGGUUCGCAGGCGGUCUGAUAAGUCAGAUGUGAAAGGCAAUGGCUCAACCAUUGUAAGCAUUUGAAACUGUCAGACUUGAGUUAAGGAGAGGAAAGUGGAAUUCCUAGUGUAGCGGUGAAAUGCGUANAUAUUAGGAGGAAUACCAGUGGCGAAGGCGACUUUCUGGACUUAUACUGACGCUGANGAACGAAAGCGUGGGGAGCAAACAGGAUUANAUACCCUGGUAGUCCACGCCGUAAACGAUGAGUGCUAGGUGUUGGGGGUCAAACCUCNNUGCCGCAGCUAACGCAUUNAGCACUCC